rnacentral:lncRNA from 1 species
CCUUAAAGUGCAUGCGUCAGGCUUUUGGUUUUCUUUUCGCCCUCCAGGUCCAGCCAUGAAAAUGAAAUUUGAGUUUUAUCUGAUGCCUGACAGAAGAUGGGAAAACCCUUCAGGGACGCUGGGCAGUGGAAGUUUUGGGAUCUCACACAUGUGAGGACUGGCACCACUGCGUUCGGCACAGGCAUUUUGACUCGGUGCCAGGCUUUCCUGAUUCAGAAGGCAGAAAACAAUACUUGGUUGGUUCAGCUGGACUUUGCGUCUUCACUGAGAGACAGGCACGGCGACUCAAGUUCUGCCAUUUUUUGGCUAAGACCAUCUCUGACAACACCUGGUUCUCAACAGGGAAUAGCAGAGGCCACUGGUUCAGCGUGGACCAUACCCUCAAAUAAAUUAAGUGCCAUGGGACAGCUAAACAUGCAGUUAAUAAAAAUAACUAAACCAGGCGAUGCUGCUGACAUUUGUAUUUGUAUUUGUAAAACUGUGCUUGAAUUCGUUUAUGGUGGCGGGAUACAAAAAUAAAGUAUUAUUAUAAUAUUAUUAUUAUUAACUGGCUAGAUGGAGCAACUCUAAUACAUGCCAAUGGCCCAUUGACACUAUUCUGGGGUUCCCGACUCUCCAAAAGCAAGUACCGGUUUUAGAAAAGGAGAUCUUGUUUGUCCAGACCAAAGUAAGGAGAGAGCAGGUUUCAUUGCCUCCCCCAUUUGACAUUAUGCUGUUCAUUUUCAUUUUUUUCCACCUGCAGAUGUAACAGACUUCUUCAGAAACCAGUAUAGUAUAAUCCCUGUAUCCAAGGGGGAUAUGUUCCCAGAUUUUGUGUGAAUAAUACUUUUUUUUUCAUGUCAGGAGCGACUUGAGAAACUGCAAGUCACUUCUGGUGUGAGAGAAUUUGCCGUCUGUGAGGACGUUGCCCAGGGGAUGCUCGGAUGUUUUGAUGUUUUUACCAUCCUUGUGGGAGGCUUCUCUCAUGUCCGCAUGGAGCUGGAGCUGAUAGAGGGAGCUCAUCUGCGCUCUCCCGGGGUGGGAUUCGAACCUGGCAGCCUUCAGGUCAGCAACCCAACCUUCAAGUUACAAGGCUUUAACCCACUACGCCACUGGGGGCUCCAUGUGAAUAUAUGAAACCGCAGAUUAAAUAAUUAAAUAUUAUUGAAAUGAAGGACUUCUGGCCCAAGAAUA